rnacentral:misc_RNA from 1 species
AAGUCGUAACAAGGUUUCCGUAGGUGAUUGAGCUUCACAUUAAACUGUGGGGUUAUUAGGGGGCAUGGGGACCCUUUGGCAAAGCUCCUGCCCGAGUGUACGGUCUACAGGAAUCGUAGAAGCGCUAUCCUUGCACAAUCAAUGACACUUUCCGACACUGACUGCUUGGAGAAACAUUGCCUAUAGAACUACCGCUCGAUUGUAACUGUUCCAAUGUUCGCACGUAGCCAGAGGUCUCUGAAUCACUACAACUUUCCGGGCUAUGAUUUAUCAGAGAUUGCGAACUACGCGGGUUACAAGAGCAGGAUGAAGGUUCACGGGGGGGGGUUUUAACGUUUGGAUACGUGUUAAUGAUCCUUCCGCAGGUGUAAUACAUUGGGUAAAAAAACCGAACAACUGUUAACAAUGGAUAUCUUGGUUCUC